AUUGAACGCUGGCGGCAGGCCUAACACACGCAAGUCGAACGAGUGGCGGACGGGUGAGUAAUGCCUGGGAAACUGCCAGAUGGAGGGGGAUAACUACUGGAAACGGUAGCUAAUACCGCAUACCAUCGGAUGUGCCCAGAAGGGAUUAGCUAGUAGGUGGGGUAACGGCUCACCGAGGCGACGACCCCUAGCUGGUCUGAGAGGAUGACCAGCCACACUGGAACCGCUAAACGGUCCAGACUCCUACGGGAGGCAGCAGUGGGGAAUGUUGCACAAUGGGCGGAAGCCUGAUGCAGCCAUGCCGCGUGUAUGAAGAAGGCCUUCGGGUUGUAAAGUACUUUCAGCGGGGAGGCGUUACCCGCAGGAGAAGCACCGGCUAACUCCGUGCCAGCAGCCGCGGUAAUUC
rnacentral:rRNA from 1 species